GACGAACGCUGGCGGCGUGCUUAACACAUGCAAGUCGAACGGAGCGCCUCUUCCUUUGUGGUGUGCUCGCGUGGCGCACGGGUGUGUCACACGUGCAUAACCUGCUCUUCACUUUGGGAUCACCUCAGGACACUGGGGCUUAUCCCGGAUAGGCGCUCCUGCUGCAUGGUGGGGGUGGGAGAGUUUCGGCGGUUGGGGAUGGGCUCGCGGCUUAUCAGCUUGUUGGUGGGGUAGUGGCUUACCAAGGCUUUGACGGGUAGCCGGCCUGAGAGGGUGACCGGCCACAUUGGGACUGAGAUACGGCCCAGACUCCUACGGGAGGCAGCAGUGGGGAAUAUUGCGCAAUGGGCGGAAGCCUGAUGCAGCGACGCCGCGUGCGGGAUGACGGCCUUCGGGUUGUAAACCGCUUUCAGCUGUGACGAAGCGAGAGUGACGGUAAUUGGUAAAGAAGCACCGGCUAACUACGUG
rnacentral:rRNA from 1 species